CAGGCUCCUAAAUUUCUUUCUUCAACGACCACAGCGUACAGUUGGGCAGCUAUUCAACACAUCCAUUCCCAAAGAGCUUUCACAUUUAAUUAUUGCUGUUUUAUCGGAGGAUUCUAUUGGUGUACUAAGGAUUCUCGGCUUUCACAUUUAAUUAUUGCUGUUUUUUCGGUAAGUGUAGGUGACUGUUGAAACUCGAUGUUAUACAUUUAGGUGUAUGUUUUUUAUUUUGCUCAGUUCCCAAACAUUUUCAUUGAGAAGGAUUCUAUUGGUUCCCUCGCUCAGCGAAGAGGGGCAAUUUAAAAAAAAAUUGACCUAGUUUGGAAAAAAAAAAUGAUUAAAAACCAAGGUUUACACUAUACACUUGCCAUAACGUGCUAUACGUUUUUGUAAAGCCAAAAAAUUAUUUUUCAAAAUUUAAAUUUUGAAAAAAAAUUCAAAUUAAUUUUUUUCAAAAUUCAAAAUUGUAUGUUAUUAAGUACUAAUUUAGUUUAUAAAAUUCGUUGGUCAUAUUUAUUUUGAAACAAAAACAGAACCGGAUCCAGAAAUAUCUUGUCACUUUCGAGAAAUUAACAAAAGACCAAAACUACUUUUUUCUAAUAACCUCUUUAUUUUUUUUUUCACGUGCCGGACUUGUUGGUAAAUUCAUUUAUGAAACAUCAACCUUUCGUAUAAAAAUUCAGACUUGCAUGAGGAUACCACAAAGUGUUACAGUAUUGGAUCAACUUUUUUCAUUGACAACACCUAAAAACUCACCUGAGUAUUUUUCUAACUAUAGGCAUUUUUUUUUGGCAAAGUUAUCCAUGGUAGAAUUUCAGUUUUUCGUUUUUUGUUUUGUUUCAGAAAUUGAAAAUGAAUUAGUGGAAAAUAACUCAAUCCGAAGUUUUAAAUCUAAUAUAUAUUUACCGAGCAAAAGAAUGUUUGUGGAACUACAGAAGCAGCUACUAUAAAAGGACUGACUUAAAAAAGAAGGCAUGGGACGAUAUUGCGAAAGAGUUCAACAAAGACGUAAGUGAAAUAAAAAAAAAGUAAAAUAUCUCCGGUCAGCAUAUCGUCGCCCUAGAAUUGGGUUGCCGUAUAUACAUAGGUUUUCAAUAGCCUAUACGGCAGGGGCAACCCAAUUCUAGGGCGACGAUAUGUUGCGAAAAAAAAAAAAUUAGAUGACUCAAAAAAGUCUGGAGAUGGAGCAGAUGGCAUUUAUGCACACCUCUUUUUUUUCGAGGAGUUCAAAUUUUUGGACGAUAUAAUCGUUAUUAGAAAAACUAACAGCAACUUUUCAUUGGAUGACACACUGGAACGAACCGUUGGUUGAUGUAGUGAACGACACCCAAGAAAAUAACGAAUUUUCUUUUCCCCAAGAAAUUGAAGAGCCUUCACAAAUAACGACAGACAGACACAUAAGUGAUGAGGUUUUAUCUCCCCCAUUCCUACCACAACCAGCACCAUCUACAAAUACAUCACGGCGGCAAAAAAACCAUCCACAAAAUUAAUAAGUAUGAUGAUGGCAUAGCUGCCAUCCUAACCCCUUCAUUUGCAGCCCGAGAGUCUGAAAGCAAGUAUAGCGAUUUCGGAAAAAGCAUCGCUAAACAGCUUGAAGAAUUGACAACAAUCGAAGCUUCUUUAGCUAUGGGUGAGUUCCAGCAAGUUAUGUCCAAACGCGUCGUGGAAUCACUGCAGGCGUUCUUCACAUCACAUUCCACCUCCAGUAAUAUAAUAUUGGAUGCAAUGAUUAAAUCCCAAAUUUUAUAAUAAUUUUGUUUAUGUUGCAAUACUUUUUAAGGCUUGACCACACCGAAGGCUAUAUGCGGUAGCGGUACGGGUAAUUGUAUGAAAAAUA